GCUGGGCAUGUUGGCACAUGCCUGUAAUCCCAGCUACUUGGGAGGCUGAGGCAGGAGGAUCACUUGAACCCAGGAGGCAGAGGUUGCAGUGAGUCGAGAUCGCACCAUUGCACUCCAGCCUGGGUGACAGAGUGAGACUCUACCUCAA
ensembl:misc_RNA Metazoa_SRP Metazoan signal recognition particle RNA